CGUGUUUCUCUUUCCUCUUGUCCUUUCUCUUUUCUUUUGGUUCUCCGACGAAAAUUAGGUGAUUCCAAUCGAUCCCUUUCGAUUACAAACUUCGGCGUAUCGACCAUGAAAUCGGGAGACAAGAGCCACAUGUACUCAAUUUUCAACCGCUAUGUACUCAAUUUUCAACCGCCGGGAUGAUGAUCGACGACGAGGUUGUUCACUAAAUUGAUUCUUCGAACCAAAUCGAAAGGAGUGGCAAAAAGCUUCAGAAAAGAGUAGGGUGGAGGCUGCUUGGAUUAAAGAGAAGUAUCCAGAUAGAAUUCCGGUGUAUGUAGAAUUGCAGACUACAUUCUUUAAGUUCUUGAGCUUGGAACAAUACUUUUCUCACUCUACUUGUUUCUGCAAUUAAAUGGUAAUAACAAUUUCUAAUGUCAGUUAAAAAUCUUUCAAGUUGAUUUUUGUUUAGCUUUUUCUAUUGAGGUUCAAACUUGUAAGCACGCGAUUGAAACCAACUGUAGAAUGACAGAUCUUGUUUGUUAUUCUGUCUUUAUGUUACUUUGUGUCAUCUUCUAUAUACUUUUACAUACCUUACAGGGCCGCUUAGUGAUCUUGAAAUGGCUUUAAAGAACAAACUUAUCACUGACAUGUUGUCAAAUGCUUGAAUGGUGCCUUUUAUGUCUUGAAAGUUAGUCUUUUUGUGUCGGUUAAUGCUUCUUCACUUGUUUUUGUUCUGUUCGGUUAUGAAUCUUAUUAUCUUAAGUUGUUUGUGUUCUGUUCUAAAUUGGUUUCAUUGUGCUCUGUUCUAAUUGGUUUGUGUUCGUGUUCAAACUUCAAUAGAUUGGUUUGUGUUCUGUUCUAAAUGAAUUUCAACUUCGUUUUAAGGAUGAUGUCCCUGUCGAGAUGCAAGAGUUCAAGGAAGCAUAAAUAGCAAGCACAUGCAAGUGUUGUUCUGUUCUGUGUAUAAGUGUAUAGGCUAUGGUCGUGUGAAGAUGCACUUGAGUUUGUGUGUCGAAUUUUGUGAGUGUAUCAAGUUUUGAGAGCGUAGAGUCUGUGUCAAGUUUUGAGAGUCAAAUGUAUCCCAAACACUUUCACAUUUUUUUCAAAAUUUUUUUUUAGUUUUAUUAGAAACUCACUUAAGGAUUUUUUUAAUGGACCAAAAAUUUUUC